rnacentral:rRNA from 1 species
UACAGAGGUCCCAAGCGUUGUUCGGAUUCAUUGGGCGUAAAGGGUGCGUAGGCGGCGCGGUAAGUCGGGUGUGAAAUCUUGGAGCUUAACUCCGAAACUGCAUUCGAUACUGCCGUGCUUGAGGACUGGAGAGGAGACUGGAAUUUACGGUGUAGCGGUGAAAUGCGUAGAUAAUCGUAAGGAAGACCAGUGGCGAAGGGCGGGGUCUCUGGACAGUUCCUGACGCUGAGGCACGAAGGCCAGGGGAGCAAACGGG